rnacentral:misc_RNA from 1 species
CCGAGUUCGUGCCCUCGCGGGUAGAUCUCCCACCCUUGUGUAUCUCAUGUUUUUGUUGCUUUGGCAGGCCGUUAAUUCGUUAACCACCGGCCCUCGGGCUGGUGCGCGCCUGCCGGAGGACCCCAAACUCUGAAUGUUAGUGUCGUCUGAGUACUAUACAAUAGUUA